rnacentral:rRNA from 1 species
UACGUAGGGGGCAAGCGUUGUCCGGAAUCAUUGGGCGUAAAGCGCAUGUAGGCGGCCCGAUAAGUCCGCUGUGAAAGUCCAGGGCUCAACCCUGGGAUGCCGGUGGAUACUGUCGGGCUCGAGUCCGGAAGAGGCGAGUGGAAUUCCUGGUGUAGCGGUGAAAUGCGCAGAUAUCAGGAGGAACACCAAUGGCGAAGGCAGCUCGCUGGGACGUGACUGACGCUGAGACGCGAAAGCGUGGGGAGCAAACAGG